rnacentral:rRNA from 1 species
CACGUAGGCACCAAGCGUUGUCCGGAUUUAUUGGGCGUAAAGAGCUCGUAGGCGGUUCGGUAAGUCAGGUGUGAAAUCUCCACGCUCAACGUGGAGGCGCCACCUGAAACUGCCGUGACUAGAGUCCGGUAGGGGAGUGUGGAAUUCCCGGUGUAGCGGUGAAUGCGCAGAUAUCGGGAGGAACACCAGUGGCGAAGGCGGUUCUCUGGGCAUGAUCUGACGCUGAGGAGCGAAAGUGUGGGAGCGACAG